rnacentral:rRNA from 1 species
CCUACGGGGGGCAGCAGUGAGGAAUAUUGGUCAAUGGGCGCGAGCCUGAACCAGCCAAGUCGCGUGAGUGAAGACGGUCCUAUGGAUUGUAAACCUCUUCUGUCGGGGAGCAAAAGACGCCACGCGUGGCGUUCCGAGAGUACCCGAAGAAAAAGCAUCGGCUAACUCCGUGCCAGCAGCCGCGGUACUACGGAGGAUGCGAGCGUGAUUCGGAUUGAUUGGGUUUAAAGGGUGCGCAGGCGGAAGAUCAAGUCAGCGGUAAAAUUGAGAGGCUGAACCUCUUCGAGCCGUUGAAACUGGUUAUCUUGAGUGAGGGAGAAGUAUGCGGAAUGCGUGGUGUAGCGGUGAAAUGCAUAGAGAUCACGAAGAACUCCGAUUGCGAAGGCAGCAUACCGGCGCUCAACUGACGCUCAUGCACGAAAGUGUGGGUAUCGAACAGGAUUAGAUACCCUUGUAGUC